CGCAAUAAGUACCCCGCCUGGGGAGUACGACCGCAAGGUUGAAACUCAAAGGAAUUGACGGGGGCCCGCGCAAGCGGUGGAGUAUGUGGUUUAAUUCGACGCAACGCGAAGAACCUUACCAGGUCUUGACAUUGAUGGACAGAACCAGAGAUGGUUCCUCUUCUUCGGAAGCCAGAAAACAGGUGGUGCACGGUUGUCGUCAGCUCGUGUCGUGAGAUGUUGGGUUAAGUCCCGCAACGAGCGCAACCCCUAUCUUAUGUUGCCAGCACGUAAUGGUGGGAACUCAUGAGAGACUGCCGCAGACAAUGCGGAGGAAGGCGGGGAUGACGUCAAAUCAUCAUGCCCCUUAUGACCUGGGCUACGCACGUACUACAAUGGGAGUUAAUAGACGGAAGCGAGAUCGCGAGAUGGAGCAAACCCGAGAAACACUCUCUCAGUUCGGAUCGUAGGCUGCAACUCGCCUACGUGAAGUCGGAAUCGCUAGUAAUCGCAGGUCAGCAUACUGCGGUGAAUACGUUCCCGGGCCUUGUACACACCGCCCGUCACACCACGAAAGUCGGAAGUGCCCAA
rnacentral:rRNA from 1 species